rnacentral:lncRNA from 1 species
CAGAACUGUUCCCAGGGCUCUUCCUGACUCCACCCUGCUUCUGAUGCUUCUCUUUAGGUAUCUAAGUGAACCAAGAUGCAAUGUGCUUCCUCCAUUCCCCUCUGCUGUGUGGGAACUAUGGCUUCUGGAUGGAUGAAGAUAAAGCUGGGCUGAAGGCGUGGUGUGAGGGGGAGGGGAUGGCAGGGGACAUCUGCGGAAAGACAGGACUCUGGCACCUCUACCUAACUUGGAAGAUAUUGGAAGAGAGACAGCCUGUUUUUCUAGUACUUGUCCCUGUGUCUCGAAGACAGGGGCAUCAGCAGGAAGGAGCCACAGGAAGAUUAAGAAGGAGAAAAGGUGAGGGAAUCAAGUACCAGAGAAAUUGAUGGAAAGACAACGCUGCUGCCCUUCUCUUCUCAAAUGGGAUGGAUGUGAGGAGCUGGGGGUGGGGAGAGAGAAAAAAAAAUUGAGGACUGCUGCCUGCCACUCUUCUCGCUCAAAGGAAAAUCAUGCUCGGAAGACAUGGGACCCAAAAGGGCCACUGGAUCUUCUCCUAUGGUGCCUGUCUCUUUUAAACAGGAGGCAGCAGCCCCUCUCCUGGUCUCCAUCACUCAGUCUUGGACCAUCAGGAGCCACUGAGGCCUCCCAAGCAGAGUGGCAACUAUGCUGGGUGGGAACGUGACCUGCUGUUAAAGGCCCACAGUCAUUAGAAUUCUGUAAGAACAUACCCUGGUAGCCAGAGGGCCUGGUUUGGUGUCCGGACCCCAACAUGUCACGUUGCUCUGCCUAGCUGUGUGAGAUGGGGCUGGUGUGCAGCUGUCUUCUGCUGGUCCUUCUAGAUUCAUUUUUCCUCCUGCUCCACCUUUUUUCUGCCAUAGAGGCAGACCUCUGAGGGCCUCAUCCAUGGGCUCCUGCCCUCCAAGUCCGGCUGGUGGGGAUCCCAGUAGAUAGGAGGGAGAAACAGCAAGAGGCUGCUGGAGGCUGGCUGGAACUGGGGCAGGGACGCUCGUGCGCUUCCCCGAAGUCUCUCUUUUUAGGUCCUUUGCUGCUGCUAGCCCCAGGUCCUUGCAGUACCCCCUCUGCUUCCCCCUACCCACCCAUGGCAUGUAUUUAGUGCCUUUGUGCAUAAACACCUCUCAAAUUAUCCUGAUUGAGGGUACUUCUUUCCACUGAGACAUCAACACUGGUACCUGAUGGAUAAGGCAAGUCUGAGUUUGCACCUGGCCCCUAUUCACAGUAAGGAUGUGAGAAAGUUACUUAACCUCUCUGAGCAUGGCUUGACUCAUCCCUAAGAUGGGGAUGGAUGAUACUGAAUCAUAGCAUUGUGAUAUAACCCGAACCAGGCACCUAAUUAAUACCCAUUUCUUUGUUUAUGAAAGUCUCAAGUUUAGGGGAAACAAAAAAAAAAGAUCAGUAAAAGGUAUAAAACAAAAGAAUGCAAUGAACACCAGAAUCAUCAUCAAACCAAGACAUUAAAAUACUUUCCUGCCAGUGGGACCGCAGCCAAGUAGUGCUAUUUGAUACAGCAUCCCUCUGUCCUGGUCAGAGGAGAGCCCUGCUCAGAACUGACUAUCCAUGGCAAGCAUUGAGUGUGGAGCACCCACUCCACAGCCCCCAGUCCUUUCGCUCAUGCUCCAACAUAGUCAUCCUGUAAAUAUUUGCUGAAUCACCUUCUGUGUGCCUUGCCCUGUGCUAGGUCCUGGGGAACCAUGGAUCACUCAGACACAGCACCAGACUUCAAGGUGCUCACAGCCACUUGGGGAAAUGAGCCCUAAAUUCCUAGCUUUGAUCAAACAAUAAAAUGCCACCAGGCAUAAAGGUGGGAAUGAUUAAUUCUGCUAUUGGCAUACGUGUGUGCAUGUGGGUGUGCUGGGAAGGGAGGUCUGGGAAGGCUCCUCCAAGGCCUUGAAAGAUGAGACUUCUGAAAACAGAAGAGCUCAGUGGGCAGAGGGAACCGGACGUGCAAAGGCACGGAGGCAGGAGAGAACACAGAGAAAUCUGCCAACAAGUCCCAGUGGCUGGAAUAUGGAGUCCAAAGUACUGAUGGCAGCAGGGAUUCCACUAGAAGUAAAGAUCAGUUUGCGAGAGGGAAAGGACCCGAAAAGCACUCUGAGAAAUUUGGCUUUGAUUCAGGAAGCAAAAAAGAAGUAGCAAGAAUUCUUCAUUCUGAGCGUUUUAGGGAGAAACGCUGGCACAAUAAAGUGUGCAAUUUUUGUAAUCAUCUGCCUUCUGAUAGUAAGGCCCUAUUCUCCUGGGUUGGCAGGAAAUUUGUUCACAGCUAUGUUUGAGACGACCCUCUUCCCAGCUCCCAUCCAGGACCUUGUAUGUUUUUGAGUCUUGCACAGACACAAGCCUCCAGGGGUCCCACAGAGCCAUGUUCUCACAGUCCGGCCACCUCCCCAGGGGCUGCCAUAGGGUGGGACUGGAUCCCACACUAUUUGUGCCAUUCACUGACCAGAGACCUCUCCCCAGGAUGGGGGUAAGCUUUCUCUUGUCCUUCUUUGACCCUUAGAAUCCCUCUUUUCUCCACCUCCUCUACCCAAUCUGCCAUAAGCAUUUACUGAACACAGGAGGAAUCAUAGACUUCCAGCAGUUUUUGUUUACGUGCUGCGUGCAAAAAUUCCCCAAGGCAAGGAAAUACAAGAGCCUAAGGACUCGUUUGGAAUGUGCGAGAGGGCAAGCCCAGGGAGAGCUUCACAAAUGAAUAUGUCCAUGAAGCACACUGCCAGGCACACUUUCAAGGCUUUGAUGUUAUUACUACUAGGAUAGUCCACAUUCUGAGGCUGUCAAGUCAUUAUCUGGACAAUGUCAUCCCUCAAGGGCUUUUGGCAAAAGCUUUCAAAUAACUGAAGUGACAGUAAGAAUUUAUAACAUGAAAUUUAGAAUGAAUUAAUAGUCAUCGCACCUAAAAUAUGUCUCUAUCAGAUCAUGAACUUCUUCAGGGCAGAAUAUUCAUUGUAAUGGUCUUAGGCUUUAGAGUUUAAAUUUUCAUCUCUAAGUUACAAGACCUUGGGCACAUUUUUUUGAAUUCCCCAAGCCUCAGUUUUCUCAUCAAUGAAAUGGGGCUAUCCUUCUGGCAUUGUGAGGAUAACAGUACAUAAAAGGGUCUGGCAGAGAAAGGCAUCAAAUAAAUGCUGCCUGGAAGGAUGGAUGGAUGGAAGGGCAGGUGGACAGACAGAAGGACAUCUCAGCCCUUUGUUUUAUUGUGGUCAGGCAGUACCAGCAUCACAUGCCUCAGUGUGUUAUUUAAAUAUAUGUUUUCGGUCAUGACACCAGUGUGGGAACUUUGCACCUUGGAAUAACAUCUAAGCCUUUUGUGAGCUCUCAGUCAAGUGUAAGAAAAAGAAACAUAAAAAGAAACACUGAGGGUGCAGAGAGAAGAGGUGGGGGUUCAAUUACCUCAUUAUCAGGUGUAAGGACAGCACAUUCUUCCAUUCAUUAGCACCCACUUGUGCCUGCCAGGAGAAGGCCAAUCAGCUGCCAUUUGCUGGGGCUCCAACAGAAGAGGUGACCCCAGAGAUAGAAGAUUGGGUGCAGGUUGCAGAGGACCAAGGAAGAAAUUGUGGACUUGGACUUCCUUAAAGAUGCAAAGGUCUGGUCCCCAGGGGCCUUUGCAGGGUAGCCUGAAGAAGCUGGCAUAUCAUUUGGGCCAUUGUUAAUCAUAAUAAAGGUGCUCUUGAGGGCAAUGAGAAGUCACAGAAAUGGCAGGAAAGUAAAUCUACCCAAUGUGGUGGUGGACAAGUGGAGUAACUGUCCUGAGCAAGGAGUAGCAAUCUCCAGGGCCCACGGCUGAGUGAGCAGAGCAGAAAAGGAUUAAGAUAGAGAGGGCUCCACCGUGACAAGCUGUGCAGCCUAAACACUGCACGGUACAGGUUAUCAGGCUUUCCCUUUUUUCUGAAAAAAAGCAUAAAAUCUGGAUAUAUAUGCGAAAUUUCCCAGGUUUAAGUGUUGGCUAUGAUUUCAAACAUUUUCAAAACACCGUGUAGGUCAAACAAAGCACAAAGGCCAUUGGUGACUCUCAGGCUGCCAGUGUCUCAAUCAAACACCAAAUCCAGGACAUGAAGCAAGGGUGAUGUCAAGGUCAAAGCCAGGGUCAUUGUCGAAAAUCACAGUGGAAGAUGCCCUGCACCCACUGGAAAGAACUCCAGGGUCGGGAGCCAAGUUCAGAAUGUAAAAUGCACAUGACAUAAUAGGUGAUGGGGUUGUGAGAGGAGAUUUAGUGAAGAGCAACUUAUUUCUGGUAGAUCCUAUCUUGGCAUGAAGGUGUGUUCCAAGUGUACCUUUCUAGUCACCUUGCAGCCUGGGUCAAAUUUAUUGCCCUAAUAGGGCAAUGGAUUACCAUUUUGUAGAUGGUAAUAAUGAAGUUGUGGAGUGAUGACCAUUUUUAUAUAUGUAGAUUUUACCAUUUUUUUUAUUUCCCAAGGAUACAUAUUUAGAAGUAAAAUUACUAGUGCAUUUGAUUUAUGCUGUAAAUUGAUUUCCAAAAGGGCUGUACCUUGUGUCAGAAAUAGUGUUCACUAAAUACUUAAUAUACUCCCUUACAUUUCUAACCUCCUUGUAAUUAGUUUAGGGUCAUGUGAUUAGUUCUGGCCAAUGGACUAUGAGGGGAAAUGACACAUGUCUAACAUACACUUAAGAGAGGUGUUUCCAUGCCUCCCUUCUACCUAGCAAAGCAGAACUAAUAGCCAUACAUUAAGAUAGUAGCAUGGACCCCUGACUCACCAGAUGGAAGACAGCUACAACAAGCACCCAAUGGGCUUUGCAAGAGUGAAAAAUAAGCUUCUUUGUUAUGCCACUGAUAUUUUUAUGUUACUUGUUAUAGCGGCAUAGCCUAACUCAUCAUGAUUAACAUAUAUUGCUUUAUAAUACCAUCAGUAAUAAGUAUAAAUAUCAUUUACACUCUACCUUAGCAUUUGGCACCACCAUUAAAAACAUUUAUUUUUUAAAAAAAGAAAAAAUAAAACACAAAAUGUAUGCAUUUACACACACACACACAUACACACAUAUAUAUAUAUACACAUACAUAUAUACACAGGUAUAUACAGCUAUGGAAAAAGCUAUUCAUAUUGCUAGGAUAAUUUUUCUACCACUGUGUAAUGUCAUUAUCCAACACUCCAAAGACCCAUUCUCUCCCUUACAGAGAAGGAAAAUCAGGAGUGCUGUUAUUAAACUUAAAGGGAUUCAGACUUAAGGAAAAAAAUCCACUGAGUUCUAAGAUUGUGACUACUUUUAUAUACCUAAUUCUGGAUUGUUUAUAAAAUUCUGAAGGAGGAACAUUUUUUAAAUUUUAUUUUAUUUUAUUUUAAGUGCAGGAUGUGCAGGUUUGUUAAAUAGGUAGACGUGUGCCAUGGUAGUUUGCUGCACCUAUCAACCCAUUACCUAGGUAUUAAGCCCAGCAUGCAGUAGCUAUUUAUCCUGAUGUUCUCCCUCCCCCUACCCCACCCCCCGACAGGCUCCAGUGUGCAUUGUUCCGCUCCCUGUGUCCAUAUGUUCUCAUUGUUCAUCUCCCACUUACAAGUGAGGACAUGUGGUGGUUUUUUUCCUAUUCCUGUGUUAGUUUGCUGAGGAUAAUGGCUUCCAACUCCAUCCAUGUCCCUGUAAAGGACAUGAUCUCAUUCCUUUUUAUGGCUGCAUAGUAUGAUGGAGGAUAUUUUUAACAUGGGUUAAAUAAAACAUUAAUUAUUCCUAAAAUGAACAAAACUAUUUAUUUUAGCUUAUUUAAGGGAUGAAGUAGUGUUCCUAAGUUUUAUUUAAUCUUUCAUUUCUGAGAUCAUUUGCAAGGUUAAAUAUUUUUUAUGUUU